rnacentral:rRNA from 1 species
AACGAACGCUGGCGGCAUGCCUAACACAUGCAAGUCGAACGAGACCUUCGGGUCUAGUGGCGCACGGGUGCGUAACGCGUGGGAACCUGCCCUUAGGUUCGGAAUAACUCCCCGAAAGGGGUGCUAAUACCGGAUAAUGUCUUCGGACCAAAGAUUUAUCGCCUUUGGAUGGGCCCGCGUUGGAUUAGCUAGUUGGUAGGGUAAAAGCCUACCAAGGCGGCGAUCCAUAGCUGGUCUGAGAGGAUGAUCAACCACACUGGGACUGGGACACGGCCCAGACUGCUACGGGAGGCAGCAGUGGGGAAUAUUGGACAAUGGGCGAAAGCCUGAUACAGCAAGGCCGCGUGAGUGAUGAAGGCGUUAGGGUUGUAAAGCUCUUUUACCCGGGAUGAUAAGGACAGUACCGGGAGAAUAAGCUCCGGCUAAUACCGU